rnacentral:misc_RNA from 1 species
GAUGAAGAACGCAGCGAAAUGCGAUAAGUAGUGUGAAUUGCAGAAUUCAGUGAAUCAUCGAAUCUUUGAACGCACAUUGCGCCCCAUGGUAUUCCGUGGGGCAUGCCUGUUCGAGCGUCAUUUACCCCCUCAAGCUCCGCUUGGUGUUGGGCGUCUGUCCCGCUUCGCGCGCGGACUCGCCCCAAAGGUAUUGGCAGCGGUCGUGCCAGCUUCUCGCGCAGCACAUUGCGCUUCUCGAGGCACCGGUGGGCCCGCGUCCAUCAAGCUCACCCCCCCAGUUUGUCCUCGGAUCAGGUAGGGAUACCCGCUGAACUUAAGCAUAUCAAUAAGCGGAGGA